UCACAGUUGGUAUCAUAGUCAAUUUGUCACGUCCCGGAUUACUUGUUUUUCCGGACACGCUAACAGACCCGCCGUAUGCAUAGAAAUUUUUCUGUAUACGAAAUGAAGCUGUAUUUGUACCUGUAAUCAUACAACACCACAACCAAUAGUAUAGAGCUGCUAAAAAGAACAACAUAUAUAAACAACAGAGGUUCACUAUACAUACAUAGCAUCCUGGUAUACAAAAACUCUCGCUCCAACGAGAUACAAAUAUCAGUAUGUAUAAUAAACAAAAAACUACAACUAUACUACCUGUAGCUGGUACUCCUCUAGCUCU
rnacentral:lncRNA from 1 species